GACGAACGCUAGCGGCGUGCCUAAUACAUGCAAGUCGAACGCAGUGGGGACGGGUGAGUAACACGUGGGUAACCUCGCAUCAGAGGGGAUAACACUUGGAAACAGGUGCUAAACCGAUACUGAUGGAUGGAACCGCGGUGCAUUAGAGAUAUGGGAAGGUAACGGGUCACCAAGGCCACGAUGCAUAGCCGGUCUUGGAGGGUGCUCGGCCAACCUGGGACUGAGCCACGGCCCAGACUCCGACGGUAGGCAGCAGUAGGGAAUCUUCGGCAAUGGACGAAAGUCUGACCGAGCAAUGCCGCGUGAGUGAAGAAGGUUUUCGGAUCGUAAAACUCUUUUGUUAGUGAAGCGGUAUCUAACCAGAAAGCCACGGCUAACUACGUGCCAGCAGCCGCGGUAAUAC
rnacentral:rRNA from 1 species